rnacentral:rRNA from 1 species
AAAACGACUCUCGGCAACGGAUAUCUCGGCUCUCGCAUCGAUGAAGAACGUAGCGAAAUGCGAUACCUGGUGUGAAUUGCAGAAUCCCGUGAACCAUCGAGUCUUUGAACGCAAGUUGCGCCCGAGGCCCUUCGGCCGAGGGCACGCCUGCCUGGGCGUCACGC